rnacentral:lncRNA from 1 species
AUUUAUUCAAAUCCAGUAUUGCCAAGAGGCAUCAUUUGUGGUAUGCCUUUGAUCCUGUUCAUUGCCAUUUAUAUUGUGUAGAAGCUUCUACACAGAUUUGCAGUUGGAAAAUUGAUGUGCAUACUUAUCCUGAUUUCAUAUUGAUAUUAUGAGCUUUUCUGGAUAAAGGUAAGAACUUUAACUGCAUUAUUCUCUCACUUUCCAAAUGAGGAUAAUACACAAGAAUUUUUCUAUCUCUACCAAGUUCUAUGGAGUUAGAAGUUAGGGUAUAGUGUAUCAUUGUACUUUUUAGGGGUGAAAGUAUUUGAAUCUAUAUAGAAUUUGAGGUAUAAUCCAUUGUAUCUCUUCUUGGUAUUUGGAUUAUCAUAGAUUUCAGCUUUCCAAGCCCCUGGCAGACAGAGGUGGAGGGACAAUAUCACUCCUUACCUUUCUCAACUGCAACUUUUCCCUAUUUCAAGUGGCAAAACAUGUUGGCCUUCACUUAUUCCUCUUUUUGUUGUUUAACAAAUGGAAAGGUCUGUCAAUAUGGUCUCUGCAAAAUAUAUUCCUUGUUGGGUGAAAAGAUUGCUUAUUUUCUGGUCUUUUAUAAUUUUUGAGGGGGGAAUAUUUGAAGAAGUUGAGUGAAAGACUGCUAUGUAGAUGAUGUUUUAAACCCAUGUACUCCAUUUUCAACUUCUAAGCAUUUAGGAUUUGUAUUUAUGUAUAAUUGACAACCUGCAACUGUAUACAUUUAAAGUGUAUACUUUGUUAAAUAUAAAUAUAUAUGUCUGAUCUGUGCUACCAUGAUCACAAUCAAGACAAAGUAUUUAUCAGCCCAAAGGUUUCCUCAUUCUGCUCUGUAAAUCCCUUCCUGCAACUCCUCUAUGUCCGUCACCCCUGUCUCAGGCAACCAUUGAUCUACAUUCUAA